rnacentral:rRNA from 1 species
GUGCCAGCAGCCGCGGUAAUACCAGCUCCCCGAGUGAUAGGGACGAUUAUUUAGCCUAAAGCGUCCGUAGCCGGCUUGGUGAGUUCCCAGUUAAAUCUGGCGAAUCAAUCGUCAGGCUGCUGGGAAUACUACCGAGCUAGGGGGCGGGAGAGGCUAACGGUAUUCUCGGGGUAGGGGUGAAAUCCUAUAAUCCCGAGAGGACCACCAGUGGCGAAGGCGGUUAGCUAGAACGCGCUCGACGGUGAGGGACGAAAGCUGGGGGAGCGAACCGGAUUAGAUACCCGGGUAGUCCCAGCUGUAAACGAUGCGGGCUAGGUGUUGGAGCAACCAUGAGUUGCUCCAGUGUCGCAGAGAAGUCGUUAAGCCCGCCGCUUGGGAAGUACGGCCGCAAGGCUGAAACUUAAAGGAUUGACGGGG